rnacentral:rRNA from 1 species
AUGUUUCUGUCCGGCAUGAAAGCAGAUUGGGACGGCUGCACCACGGAAUGCGCAAUCUGUGUAAGCCUUAGUCCCAACUUUGGUGAAGAUUAUAAAGGUAACAUUAAGAAGACAGAUCGGCCUAAAUUGCUCAAUCCUCACAGCCUCUGUUUUCUUAGGAAGCAGAGUGAUAGUACCGAAAUUCAAGUGAAACAACUGCAACUGACCCAAGAAAAGAUCCUGGAACAUCGGAAGCAAGUCCCCCUUAAUGAUGUGCCAACACUUUUUCUAAAACUCCGCCGGAAAACCAUCCGGUCCUGGAGCUUUAUUAUUUUUCAUUUGGGAAAUUGCUUCAAACACCUCUUUCUCCGAAAAAGCGGCCAAGUGUUCUGCUACGCCCAUUCUUUGCCCGGAGCCAGUGACCGAGGCGAUUGGUGCACCGCUAUCCUGCCCCAUUUCGUCCUUCCCCAUCAAAUACCUUGGGCUCCCCUUGUCUGCGCAAAGCUUCUUCCACUGACCUCAUGCCCCUGGUCAACAAGCUCUUCCAGAAACUUGUUACCUGGAAGGCAUCGCUCCUCUCUCGGGGGGAGCAGCUCGCCCUAG